GUGCUUGCAUUGGCAGCACAGAUACUAAAAUUGGAACGAUACAGAGAAGAUUAGCACGGCCCCUAUACAAGGGUGACGUGCGAAUUUGUGAAGUGAUCCAUAUUUUU
ensembl:snRNA U6 U6 spliceosomal RNA